rnacentral:rRNA from 1 species
AGCAGUCGCCGCGGUAAUACGUAGGUGGCAAGCGUUGUCCGGAAUUAUUGGGCGUAAAGGGCUCGCAGGCGGUUUCUUAAGUCUGAUGUGAAAGCCCCCGGCUCAACCGGGGAGGGUCAUUGGAAACUGGGAAACUUGAGUGCAGAAGAGGAGAGUGGAAUUCCACGUGUAGCGGUGAAAUGCGUAGAGAUGUGGAGGAACACCAGUGGCGAAGGCGACUCUCUGGUCUGUAACCGACGCUGAGGAGCGAAAGCGUGGGGAGCGAACAGGAUUAGAUACCCCUGUAGUCCCUGUCUCUUAUAC